rfam:Schistosoma mansoni strain Puerto Rico chromosome 5, complete genome
AUCCAUCUGACGAGUCCAAAAUAGGACUUGAAGCGCGUCCUGGAU